GAUGAACGCUGGCGGCGUGCCUAAUACAUGCAAGUCGAGCGAACAGACGAGGAGCUUGCUCCUCUGACGUUAGCGGCGGACGGGUGAGUAACACGUGGAUAACCUACCUAUAAGACUGGGAUAACUUCGGGAAACCGGAGCUAAUACCGGAUAAUAUAUUGAACCGCAUGGUUCAAUAGUGAAAGACGGUUUUGCUGUCACUUAUAGCUGGAUCCGCGCCGCAUUAGCUAGUUGGUAAGGUAACGGCUUACCAAGGCAACGAUGCGUAGCCGACCUGAGAGGGUGAUCGGCCACACUGGAACUGAGACACGGUCCAGAAUCCUACGGGAGGCAGCAGUAGGGAAUCUUCCGCAAUGGGCGAAAGCCUGACGGAGCAACGCCGCGUGAGUGAUGAAGGUCUUCGGAUCGUAAAACUCUGUUAUUAGGGAAGAACAAAUGUGUAAGUAACUAUGCACGUCUUGACGGUACCUAAUCAGAAAGCCACGGCUAACUACGUG
rnacentral:rRNA from 1 species